rnacentral:misc_RNA from 1 species
GUGUUUUGUAUGUUGUUGUAUGAAGAAGAAGCUCCAAGCUCCAAGAAGAAGCUCGUUUACAACACUAACGGAUUGGAUGCCGGACUGUCCAUCGCUGAUUUCGCACCCCGGCUGUCGUUCUUCUGUGGCGUCGGCAUGAACUUCUACGUGGAUAUUGCGAAGCUGCGAGCGGCGCACUGGCUCUGGGCGCACAUGAUGGAGGAGACGUUCGCGCCGACGGACCCGCGCUCAAAGCUGCUGCGUAUUCACCGCCAGACGUCGAAGUGGACGAUCACGAAGAAGGAAAGCUAUCAUAAUGGAGAAUGCCUGAUUUGCUCAGGGAGAAGACGAGGCAUCUGCAUGUGCUCUCCCGUGGGUCUAGACUAAGGAUAUGUAUCAGUCGCUCCUGCAUGGAUAUGGCCACCAGCACCCAGUGGUCACCAGUAGGAUUCCUUUGGGUCAGAAUCACUGAAGCGGCACGGAUGCCAUCUCUACGUCUCGGGAGGACGCUACGGUAACAGCUACAUGGACCAGAUGGCAGCACCUACCUUUGACAGACCGCCGUACGAUCGACCUUUGCUGUCGGAGUUCAUACCGAGGAGGCCAGAAAAGCGAGCCGUGAGUGUCAACUACUGAGUAAUGGCGUAGUAGCUGUGGUAAUGAUCGGCACGAUGAAAGGUCCACAUGUGUCUUUUCUCGUGUGUGUAAAUGGGCGGCAGGUUGUUUGGCUUGGAGGGAUGGACAGGUGUAGGCAGUAUCGCAGGGUCCGAAAUUAACGCGAGUCCGGAGUCAAAUACUCCCUGAUUU